AUGGGGAAGCUGAAGCCCGUUUCUCCGACGGCUACUCCUCGAGGUCAGAAGAGGCGCCGUGAGAAGCCCAAAAGGCCGGUGCUCGAUGAUGGUCUUCCUGACUCUCCAGCUGGAAUCAUAGCAGCGAAGGCUGUUCGGCGUGAGAAACCAUCCAAUGAGAGCCCUCAAGGCCUACAUCAGAGUGAUGACGAUGACUCAGAUGAUUGCAAUGUUUCCAGCGAGGAUGAGGCACAUGAUAUGAAAAGCAAUAAAAGUGAUGCUUUUGAUGAAAUGGAGUCGUCAUGUUCAUUUCAGCGUCAUGUUACUCACGUGCUAGCAAAUGAUGAAGUCAAUGCAUUAGUGAAUCAGAAGAGUAAAUUUAAAUGGGAGAUGCCUGCUGAGGACAUUCCAAAAUCCAAAUGGGUUGGGACAGGUGAAAAAAUUAAGGGAGCUUCUGAUGACCCUUUUGUUGAUGUCAAAGGAAAAUUGAAGGACCACUGGCAAAAAAUCCUCUCUGAUGAUUUGAAUUAUAGAUCGAGGUUCUUCUCACUUUGUAAUAGCUAUCGUGACAUAAUGCAUUGUAAUAAGAAGCCAUUUUAUCUUAAGGGUAGUAAGGUGGAUUCCAGUACUAUGGACGCAUAUCUUAUGCAUGCUUUGAGCCAUGUUCAUAGGACAAGAGAUGUUGUCAUUAAGAAUGAUGCGAAGCUUAGGAAUGAUGCUAACACAGAUGUUAUGGCGGACGACUCAUACCGCGAUCAGGGUUUUACACGUCCAAAGGUUCUUUUCUUGUUACCUCUCAAAAGCAUUGCACGACGCAUUGUGAAGAGAUUAAUCCAAUUAUCUCCGCUGACACAAAAGGAUAAUUCUAUGGGACAAUUCAAGAAAGAGUUUGGCGAAUCAGAUGAUGAACUGGAGGAGCCAAAUAGUUCAAAACCAACAGACUUUAACCUUCUGUUUGCUGGGGAUGUUGAAGAUCACUUUCUUUUUGGAAUAAAAUUUACAAAGAAAUCUGUUAAGCUAUACAGCAAUUUCUACGCUUCUGAUAUUAUAGUUGCGUUUCCUUAG
rnacentral:rRNA from 1 species